CCUACGGGUGGCAGCAGUGAGGAAUAUUGGUCAAUGGUCGGGAGACUGAACCAGCCAAGCCGCGUGAGGGAGGAAGGUACAGAGGAUCGUAAACCUCUUUUGUCAGGGAACAAAGGCGGGGACGUGUCCCCGGAUGAGUGUACCUGAAGAAAAAGCAUCGGCUAACUCCGUGCCAGCAGCCGCGGUAAUACGGAGGAUGCGAUGGUUAUCCGGAUUUAUUGGGUUAAAAGGGUGCGCAGGCGGUCUGUUAAGUCAGCGGGCAAAGCCCGGGGCUCAACCCGGGCCCGCCGUUGAAACUGGCAGUCUCGAGUUGGAGAGAAGUAUGCGGAAUGCGCGGUGUAGCGGUGAAAUGCAUAGAUAUCGCGCAGAACUCCGAUUGCGAAGGCAGCAUGCCGGCUCCACACUGACGCUGAGGCACGAAAGCGUGGGUAUCGAACAGGAUUAGAUACCCGAGUAGUC
rnacentral:rRNA from 1 species